GACGACGCUGGCGGCGUGCCUGACACAUGCAAGUCGGACGGUUCUUGUAUCUUCAAGCUUGCUUGCAGGUGCAAGGAUAGUGGCGGACGGGUGAGUAACGCGUGAACAUCUACCCAUUGGAGGGGGACAACCCGUCGAAAGGCGGGCUAAUACCGCGUAAGCCGCGAGGUGAGAGGCUGCCUAUUGGUGGCCGCCGAUGGAUGGGCCCGCGUCUGAUUAGCUAGUUGGUGGGGUAGUGGCCUACCAAGGCAACGAUCAGUAGCCGGCCUGAGAGGGUGGACGGCCACACUGGGACUGAGACACGGCCCAGACUCCUACGGGAGGCAGCAGUGGGGAAUAUUGCGCAAUGGGGGAAACCCUGACGCAGCGACGCCGCGUGAGCGAAGAAGGCCUUAGGGUCGUAAAGCUCUGUUGUAAGGGACGAAUGUUUAUCUGACGAACAGUCAGAUAAAGUGACGGUACCUUACCAGCAAGCCCCGGCUAACUACGUG
rnacentral:rRNA from 1 species